UUUCACUUCCUUCCUUCUUUUUCUUCUUCACUCUUCUUUUUAUGCUAAACUAUAAUCCUCUCUCUCAAGUUUCUCAUUCCUCUACUCUCUUCCAUCUCUCACGUUUCAUCUUCUGUUUGUCUUUUUUCACUUCCACCCUUCUUUUUCUUCUUCUUGCAUAGAGUAGGUUUUAUCACUGAUAGUCAUUCUUUUAAACUGAAAUAGGUUAUUUUGAUUAGUGAAUAGAUUUUGUAUUAGUUAAAAAUAUUUUGGGUUUAUUUUUGCAGGUGGUUAAGGGCGGAAUAUUACAGAUGAACUCGAUCUACAGAAGUCAAUGAAGUGGGCAGCGGAGGUGGUGGUUGUUUUGCUGAUGGAUCUGAAGGUACUAUUGUUGAUUUCACUGAAGAGAAUCUUGGAUUUUAACAUGGGUUGCUUUCUCCGUUACUUUCUCAGAUCUACACACCGAAUAUGGUCUCAAAUUCCUCAACGAUUUCCUCUCCGAAAAAACCUAUAUCUCUCGGAUCAAAUCACAAAGGAUGAUAUUAAAGUUUAUGGAGCUGUUACUGAGAAAAAUUGUGGAAAUCGUUAAAGGAUAAUGGUGUAUAUGUUAAUUUGUUUUGUUGGAGUUUUGUUGGAAUUUGAACGAUGUUGUAGAUAUUAUUACUAGAGGUUGUCAAUGAAAAGCUGGGAAACAUGUUGAAUAUGAAGUUAUUGUCAAGGAUAAUGAAUUGGUUGCAACUGAAUACAUUGAUGAUUACAUACAAGUUUUUCAAACUUAGUGAAGUGAUGCACUGUUCUAUCUCUUUUUGUUCUGUGUUUUUUCUCUUACACAAAUUGUGUGUUGAUUUCAGUUCAAAUUGUUUUGAGCUUUAACACUGAUUAUCAUCUCUAACUGCAGAGAAGAAUUAAACAUAAAUUUACGUGAAGCGGAUUCAUAAUUAAAUAACUGUGUGGUAGAUUUUCUCGAUUUUGUCCUGGUGAUGGCAUAGAAGUUGAGAAACUCAUAUGAAGCAACAAUAUUUUCUCUGCAGUUCAUCACUUCAAUGAAAGAUCUUUCAGAGCAAGCAACAUUAAAUUGUCUACAGAAAUUAUUAGCAGCUUCAUUGGUUUUUCCAGUGAAAGAUCUUUUAGAGCAAGCAACAUUAAGGUUUUUGCAGUGAAAGAUCUUUUAGAGCAAGCAACAUUAAAUUGUCUACAAGAAUUAUUAACAGCUUCAUUAUGUGAAUCAGACGUGACAAUUAGAGUUUCAUAUGCAGAUUUGAUAACAUCGUCUAAGGGACUUUGGAUUCUAUAUUGGAACUGCAAAAUGUGUGUGCUGUGUUAAAACUUGAAUGGCAAAAAUUGUUAUAUCGAUGGUAAUGUU